CCCUUAGAUGUUCUGGGCCGCACGCGCGCUACACUGAUGCAUUCAACGAGUUUCUUCCUGGUCCGAGAGGAAUGGGUAACCUUUUGAAAGUGCAUCGUGGUAGGGAUAGACUAUUGCAAUUAUUGGUCUUCAACGAGGAAUUCCUAGUAGACGUAGUUCAUCAGACUGCAUCGAUUACGUCCCUGCCCUUUGUACACACCGCCCGUCGCUCCUACCGAUUGAAUGCUCAGGUGAGCCAUUCGGACUUUCAUCAUGCUGGUUUCCAGUUUUGAUGAAGGAAAGUCUUGCGAACCUUAUCAUUUAGAGGAAGGAGAAGUCGUAACA
rnacentral:rRNA from 1 species